AUCAAGAUUCCAGCUCAGACGAGGAAACUAAGACGGUAAGGGAUUUAUUUGUUUAUAGGUGGAUGCAUCAGAAUGGAGCAGAGCAGGGAGCUUGAAGCCCCGCCCAGAACGGCUUUAAAAUGACCAUAAAUGACUCAUUUUUGAAAUUCUGUAAAAUGCAUCAAGUUGAAGUAAAACAUUGGUCUGCCUGAUAGUUAGGUGGCGUUGUUUGUUUCUUGCUAUUGCAGCUUCUGCGUCACAACUACAAACUUUUCCCAACAGCAUUUUUUGUCGGUUCCUGAAUAAUUUAAAGGAUUUUGCGUCACAAUGAAAAUGGAAAUGAGAUAGAAACUCGUGCGUUUACUUUGUCCGUUCUUUUUCUCCAAGUAGAAACUCUUUCUUUUGCUGAUGCAGAUACUGCUGAUACUUUUUUGAUGGACCUAUAAUCUUCAUACGCCGUCAAUACCACCUUCGACUCCGUCUCACUGAAGUAACAAGCUCUUGUUUUCGCCACGCGUUUUCAUGGUGACUCCGGAAAUCGGUGAUCCAUUGAAAAUGCCUUGUUGUACUUGCUGUGUACGCGCCUUGACUCAGGGUUACCGAGAGGAGCGUAAUUAAGCAAAUUCAUACCCAGAGUAAGCAAGUUUAGGCAGAGUUCAGGGUUAAAGUCAGGGUAGUUUAAAUGGGCCUUCUGGAAUACCCCCCUGACCAUCUCCCUCGGCACACUAGUGUACCUCGGCACACCGGUUGAAAAACACUGCUUUAGAGAAGACAGGUCUAUAGUUUUAUUAACCCAAUAGUCAAUGUUUCAAAUCAAAAACCCAUAAAUAUCCUUAUGACAUGCAGAUAAAAGUUUCAUGCUGAAAUUUGACAGAAACAAGAUCUCAGUGACCCUGGGGAAAAAUAAAAUUGGCUUUGUUUUUGUAAAUUAACCAGUUUGAUUAAUUUUGGUUAAACAAUGUGUAAAGCUAAUGCUAGUUUAUAAAAAUGUAUUCUCAAAUUUAUUUAGACAUUAAAUCUUUAACCAAAGAGUUUGAUUCACUCUUACUUUAGUUGUAAGUUUUUUAAAGAGUCCCUAAUCAAAAAAUCUGAAAACCUAUUUGAAAAAAACAACAACAAUAAUGGAGCCAUAAAUACAAAACAAUAACAUUUUUCCCACAACAGUGUUUUCUUUUCAUGUCAAUUUAAGUAAUUAUUUAUGAUAAAUGCCACAUAAACUGCUCUAGGUUUUUCUUUACAUGUCACAGCUGUUUAGUUUGUAGCUCUUUGUUGUCAUCUUGUUCUUUUUUUUAAAAUUGCUUCCUGUUUACUUUUUUUUUUGCAAAAUAAUUUUGAGCAAACCUGCAAUACCUUAUUUAGAAAAACCUAUAAGUUAAUGAUAAAAGGCUUGUUUAAAAAAAUUACUUUUGGGUGUUUUAGACAACUGGCUUAGAUGCACAAGAUUUCAGAUGUUAUUGUGUCUUUAGGCAAGCAAUACUCUGCAAUAAUAACACAAGAAAACACAAAACACGUCUACACAAACAACACAAAAACGUCACACAAAAACAACACAAAAAACGUUAAUUAAUAAAAUGUAACUGAAAUGGACCAAAACAAACAAACAAACAUAAAAACAGCUACUAUAGCUACCUCUACUUUUAUUUUGAAAUGAUGGGGUGUUUCCGGUCUGGUAAGGCGGUUUUCUAUGCGGACGACCAUGAACAGCUUAGUGUGAAGUGGAGCGGUCUUAAGACAGCCCGCGUUAUCUUUCGUCGCAUUCAGCGCCACAGAAAGCCAGAGGAGCCAAGGUUUGCUGUUCCUCCUCGACGGUCAUCUCUCGAUUCAAACAUUCUUCUCAGGAGAUUGAAAAAGAAAAAAAAAUGAUGCGGAAAAUGUUUCGACAUCAAGUCGAACUUCGUUCUUACUGGAGAAAACUGAAGACCUUCGUAAAGGUAAAGUGGUUUGGCUAACGCUGUUAGCUAAUUAACGGCAGGUACGUUUUUCUGUCGCCGUAAUUUACCGAACGCAGACGAAUUUCAACGAUCGCUGUAGGAGGUGGAUGUGAUCAUGAAAGCAAACAAAAGUUAAAAAUAAAAAAAAGGAAAUUACACACACAUCUGCAACAACAGGGUCUGUCGAAGUUGGUGGAUGCUAGUUGAAAUAUAUACAUUUAGUCAUUUUUCUUUUCUAUGAUGCAUCUGUGAAAAAGCUUUGUUUAUCAUUGUUUCUCUCCAUCUGUAUUUUUUUUUCUUGGUUUGUCGACAUUUGAAGUGCUUUAAGAUUUUCCUCAUUGUUUGAACUUUAAAAUGAAAUGUUCUUUUCCUUCACAUUGAGGUUUAAUGUGUUACCUAGUGUAUAAUUUGAAGGCAUUUGUAAAUUGACGCAUUGAUGCAGCCAGGAUGUGCAGAAAUAUUGUCCAUUUUACUGUGGGAAAAGUUGAAUUUUUAUUUUGUUACAUUUUAAACUUGUCAUUUUAAUGUUUGUAGUAAACUAAGCUUUUAGUUAAAAAAACAAACAAAGUCUGUCUAAAAACAAUAACCUAUAUAUUUUACUACCUGAACACACCAUAGUUGUUUUUAUUUUUAAUUAUCUUUAUUGCUUAUUAACAUAACUCCUAGGGCUGGACUGGGGGACUCUAACGAUACCCACCUGACAAGCGUGGUCACUGAGAGGAGAUGGGAACAUUUUUAAAGAUUUUUAUUUUAUAUUAUUUUUUUGGAUGUGUGGAAACUGUUUUUGUAUUUUUAUUCUCACAAUGGGAUGUCCAUUCAGCGAUCUUUCUGGAGGUCCACUUAUUAGUUUGUAGUCUUUUCUUGUUUUUAUCUUUUAUGCCACCUGUAUUUAAUAAAAGUUUAAAUGGAAAAAGUGA